UUGAUUAUUAUUUGUAAGUCACUUUGGAUAAAAGUGUCUGCUAAAUGUAAUAUA
rfam:Astyanax mexicanus Tnplaced_Scaffold4592, whole genome shotgun sequence.